rnacentral:rRNA from 1 species
UGAGGAAUAUUGGUCAAUGGGCGAGAGCCUGAACCAGCCAAGUCGCGUGAAGGAAGACAGUCCUAAGGAUUGUAAACUUCUUUUAUACGGGAAUAACGGGCGAUACGAGUAUUGCAUUGAAUGUACCGUAAGAAUAAGCAUCGGCUAACUCCGUGCCAGCAGCCGCGGUAAUACGGAGGAUGCGAGCGUUAUCCGGAUUUAUUGGGUUUAAAGGGUGCGUAGGUUGUUCGGUAAGUCAGCGGUGAAACCUGAGCGCUCAACGUUCAGCCUGCCGUUGAAACUGCCGGGCUUGAGUUCAGUGGCGGCAGGCGGAAUUCGUGGUGUAGCGGUGAAAUGCAUAGAUAUCACGAGGAACUCCGAUUGCGAAGGCAGCUUGCCAUACCGCGACUGACACUGAAGCACGAAGGCGUGGGUAUCAAACAGG